GGAGUCGAUUCGCCGCCACCAUUCACAGUAGCAGCAGCAACCUACAAUUCCCUCAUUUCAAGGUAAUUAUGUCUAGCAAUGAUGAGUACAAUGAGUACAAUGAUGAAAAUACUUACACGACAUAUACAAGUGAUAUGCCGAGUACUGGUACGCCUGCUGCCCCUGCUGCCUAGCCUGCCCUUGCAGCCACAACUACAAAAACUGGUUUGGGAACGUCCAAUCCCACAGCUAAGCCCCCAACGAACAAAAGAAAACAAAGGUCAACUGCUUGGGAUCACUUUAAAGUUACUGUUAGUGCAGAUGGUUCUAAAACAUGUGUGUGUAAAUAUUGUGGCCAUACUUAUCACAAAGUGACAAAUAAAACUGAAACUGGAAACAUGAUACGUCAUUUAGAGGGUUGUCAAAGGAAGAACACACAUGAUGUGGGUGAAUUGGUGACUACAAGUAAAUCAAAAUUUGAUCAUGUUCACUUUAGGGAGUUAUUGUCUGCUGCUAUUGUUGUUCAUGAUUUGCCAUUCCGAUUUGUUGAAUAUGAACACAUUAUAGCUAUUUUUGAGUAUCUUAAGUGGGAUAUUAAGAUGGUUUCUAGAAAUACAGUGAAGGCUGAUGUUUUGAAAUUGUAUGAAAGAGAAAAGAUGAGGAUUAAGUCUGAAUUGCAAAAAGCAUCUGGUAGAAUGUCCUUGACUUCUGAUUGUUGGAGUUCGAUUACCACUGAUGGUUAUACUUCUCUUACUUGUCACUUCAUUGAUAAGGAAUGGGUGUUACAUAAGAAGGUCUUGAAUUUUUCUUUGAUGCCA